rnacentral:rRNA from 1 species
GACGAACGCUGGCGGCGUGCUUAACACAUGCAAGUCGAACGGAAAGGCCCUGCUUUUGUGGGGUGCUCGAGUGGCGAACGGGUGAGUAACACGUGAGUAACCUGCCCUUGACUUUGGGAUAACUUCAGGAAACUGGGGCUAAUACCGGAUAGGAGCUCCUGCUGCAUGGUGGGGGUUGGAAAGUUUCGGCGGUUGGGGAUGGACUCGCGGCUUAUCAGCUUGUUGGUGGGGUAGUGGCUUACCAAGGCUUUGACGGGUAGCCGGCCUGAAAGGGUGACCGGGCACAUUGGGACUGAGAUACGGCCCAGACUCCGACGGGAGGCAGCAGUGGGGAAUAUUGCACAAUGGGCGGAAGCCUGAUGCAGCAACGCCGCGUGCGGGAUGACGGCCUUCGGGUUGGAAACCGCUUUCGCCUGUGACGAAGCGUGAGUGACGGUAAUGGGUAAAGAAGCACCGGCUAACUACGUG